rnacentral:RNase_MRP_RNA from 1 species
GGGCAUUCAGAAGGCUUGCAAUCUGGGCUACAAACAGAGAACCUAGUUUCUCACAUACCCGCCCAGGGGAAAGUCCCCGGACCCGUGGCAGAAAGUGCCCUGGAUAAACCCAGUCUCGGCCUGCGCUCCUCCACAAAGCCAAGACGUUCAGUAGAACCGAGCUUGGGGAUUGCUUGUCGAAUUUGUCAGCGUUAAGAGGAAUGCAAACACUAUGCACGAAACGCUUCAACAGAACGGGGCUCAUUCUCCGAAUGCA